rnacentral:rRNA from 1 species
UAGUCCACGCCGUAAACGAUGAGAGCUAGCCGUCGGUCAGCAUGCUGUUCGGUGGCGCAGCUAACGCAUUAAGCUCUCCGCCUGGGGAGUACGGUCGCAAGAUUAAAACUCAAAGAAAUUGACGGGGCCCGCACAAGCGGUGGAGCAUGUGGUUUAAUUCGACGCAACGCGAAGAACCUUACCAGCUCUUGACAUUCAGGUCGCGGUUACCGGAGACGGUUUCCUUCAGUUCGGCUGGACCUGGGACAGGUGCUGCAUGGUUGUCGUCAGCUCGUGUCGUGAGAUGUUGGGUUAAGUCCCGCAACGAGCGCAACCCUCGCCUUUAGUUGCCAGCAUUCAGUUGGGCACUCUAGAGGGACUGCCGGUGAUAAGCCGGGAGGAAGGUGGGGAUGACGUCAAGUCCUCAUGGCCCUUACGGGGGUGGGGCUACACACGUGCUACAAUGGCGGUGACAGUGGGUUAAUCCCAAAAAACCGUCUCAGUUCGGAUUGUUCUCUGCAACUCGAGAGC